rnacentral:rRNA from 1 species
GAUGAACGCUGGCGGCGUGCCUAAUACAUGCAAGUCGAGCGAACGGAUAAGGAGCUUGCUCCUUUGAAGUUAGCGGCGGACGGGUGAGUAACACGUGGGUAACCUACCUAUAAGACUGGAAUAACUUCGGGAAACCGGAGCUAAUGCCGGAAAACAUUUGGAACUGCAUGGUUCUAAAGUAAAAGAUGGUUUUGCUAUCACUUAUAGAUGGACCCGCGCCGUAUUAGCUAGUUGGUAAGGUAACGGCUUAACAAGGCAACGAUACGUAGACGACCUGAGAGGGUGAUCGGCCACACUGGAACUGAGACACGGUCCAGACUCCUACGGGAGGCAGCAGUAGGGAAUCUUCCGCAAUGGACGAAAGUCUGACGGAGCAACGCCGCGUGAGUGAUGAAGGUUUUCGGAUCGUAAAACUCUGUUAUUAGGGAAGAACAAAUGUGUAAGUAACUGUGCACAUCUUGACGGUACCUAAUCAGAAAGCCACGGCUAACUACGUGCCAGCCGCCGCUGUAA